GACGUAGGGCGCGAGCGUUGUCCGGAUUUAUUGGGCGUAAAGAGCUCGUAGGCGGCUUGUCGCGUCGACUGUGAAAACCCGCGGCUCAACUGCGGGCCUGCAGCCGAUACGGGCAGGCUAGAGUUCGGUAGGGGAGACUGGAAUUCCUGGUGUAGCGGUGAAAUGCGCAGAUAUCUGGAGGAACACCGGUGGCGAAGGCGGCAUCCUGGACCGGCAUUGACGCUGAGGAGCGAAAGCCAGGGGAGCAAACGGG
rnacentral:rRNA from 1 species